rnacentral:rRNA from 1 species
AUUGAACGCUGGCGGCAGGCCUAACACAUGCAAGUCGAACGGUAACAGGAAGCAGCUUGCUGCUUCGCUGACGAGUGGCGGACGGGUGAGUCAUGUCUGGGAAGCUGCCUGAUGGAGGGGGAUAACUACUGGAAACGGUAGCUAAUACCGCAUAAUGUCGCAAGACCAAAGAGGGGGACCUUCGGGCCUCUUGCCAUCGGAUGUGCCCAGAUGGGAUUAGCUUGUUGGUGGGGUAACGGCUCACCAAGGCGACGAUGCCUAGCUGGUCUGAGAGGAUGACCAGCCACACUGGAACUGAGACACGGUCCAGACUCCUACGGGAGGCAGCAGUGGGGAAUAUUGCACAAUGGGCGCAAGCCUGAUGCAGCCAUGCCGCGUGUAUGAAGAAGACCUUCGGGUUGUAAAGUACUUUCAGCGGGGAGGAAGGGAGUAAAGUUAAUACCUUGGCUUAUUGACGUUACCCGCAGAAGAAGCACCGGCUAACUCCGUG